UCUGUGUCGCACACCGUCGGUUCACCGCUCGCGGUGUCUAACUGGCGUGAUGUGGGACGUCCUACCGGUGGGCUCANCCUCGAGAGGGGCGGCCCAACUAAUAUCCCGUCGCAGUGCUCUUUAGUGAAUAUCGAGUUGGGCCGGUACGUUUACUUUGAACAAAUUAGAGUGCUUAAAGCAGGCUAGCUUUGCCUGAAUACUGUGUGCAUGGAAUAACAGAAUAGGAUCUCGGUUCUAUUUUGUUGGUUUUCGGAACCCCGAAAUAAUGAUUACUAGGGACAGAUGGAGGCAUUCGUAUUGCGACGUUAGAGGUAAAAUUUUUGGAUUGUCGCAAGACGGACAGAAGCAAAAGCAUUUGCCAAAAAUGUUUUCAUUAAUCAAGAACNAAAGUUAGAGGUUCGAAGGCGAUCAGAUACCGCCCUAGUUCUAACCAUAAACGAUGCCAGCUAGCGAUCCGCCGAAGUUCCUCUGAUGACUCGGCGGGCAGCUUUCGGAAAACCAAAGCUUUUGGGUUCCGCGGGAAGUAUGGUUGCAAAGCUGAAACUUAAAAGAAUUGACGAAAGGGCACCACCAGGAGUGGAGCCUGCGGCUUAAUUUGAUUCAACACGGGAAACCUCACCAGGCCCAGACACCGAAAGGAUUGACAGAUUGAUAGCUCUUUCUUGAUUCGGUGGGUGGUGGUGCAUGGCCGUUCUUAGUUGGUGGAGCGAUUUGUCUGGUUAAUUCCGAUAACGAACGAGACUCUAGCCUGCUAAAUAGGCGUACCUUAUGGUAUCGCGAAGGCUCCCGGUUUCGGCCGGCGGGUGUUUACUACCAACGUACAAACUAAUCUUCUUAGAGGGACAGGCGGCUUCUAGCCGCACGAGAUUGAGCAAUAACAGGUCUGUGAUGCCCUUAGAUGUUCUGGGCNGCACGCGCGCUACACUGAAGGAAUCAGCGUGUGUUCCCUGACCGAAAGGCUCGGGUAACCCGCUGAACCUCUUUCGUGCUAGGGAUUGGAGCUUGCAAUUGUUUCUCAUGAACGAGGAAUUCCCAGUAAGCGCGAGUCAUAAGCCCGCGGUGAUUACGUCCCUGCCCUUUGUACACACCGCUCGUCGCUACUACCGAUUGAAUGAUUUAGUAAGGUCUUCGGACUGGUGCGCGGCAAUGCUUCGGCAUUGCCGAUGUUGCCGGGAAGAUGACCAAAUUUGAUCAUUUAAAGGAAGUAACAGUCGUAACAAGGUUUCCGUAGGUGAAACUGCGGAAG
rnacentral:rRNA from 1 species